UACGAAGGGGGCGAGCGUUGUUCGGAAUUACUGGGCGUAAAGGGCGCGUAGGCGGUCCUUCAAGUCAGGCGUGAAAGCCCCGGGCUCAACCUGGGAACCGCGCUUGAGACUGGCGGACUCGAGUUCGGGAGAGGAUGGUGGAAUUCCCAGUGUAGAGGUGAAAUUCGUAGAUAUUGGGAAGAACACCGAUGGCGAAGGCAGCCCCCUGGGUUAACACUGACGCUCAGGCACGAAAGCGUGGGGAGCAAACAGG
rnacentral:rRNA from 1 species